rnacentral:pre_miRNA from 1 species
CAACCUCUGCAGGCCGGCUGGUCCCAAGGCUGAGGUCAGCGAGUAUCUCUUCGAAAGGCUCACCCUCAAGCUCGACUAGGAGC